rnacentral:rRNA from 1 species
GGUUAAGCGACUAAGCGUACACGGUGGAUGCCCUGGCAGUCAGAGGCGAUGAAGGACGUGCUAAUCUGCGAAAAGCGCCGGCGAGGUGAUAUGAACCCUUGACCCGGCGAUGUCCGAAUGGGGAAACCCAGUGUGAUUCGUCACACUAUCGUUAACUGAAUACAUAGGUUAACGAGGCGAACCGGGGGAACUGAAACAUCUAAGUACCCCGAGGAAAAGAAAUCAACCGAGAUUCCCCCAGUAGCGGCGAGCGAACGGGGAGCAGCCCAGAGUCUGAAUCAGCUUGUGUGUUAGUGGAAGCGUCUGGAAAGUCGCACGGUACAGGGUGAAAGUCCCGUACACGAAAAUGCACAGGCUGUGAACUCGAAGAGUAGGGCGGGACACGUGGUAUCCUGUCUGAAUAUGGGGGGACCAUCCUCCAAGGCUAAAUACUCCUGACUGACCGAUAGUGAACCAGUACCGUGAGGGAAAGGCGAAAAGAACCCCGGCGAGGGGAGUGAAAAAGAACCUGAAACCGUGUACGUACAAGCAGUGGGAGCACCUUCGUGGUGUGACUGCGUACCUUUUGUAUAAUGGGUCAGCGACUUAUAUUCUGUAGCAAGGUUAACCGUAUAGGGGAGCCGAAGGGAAACCGAGUCUUAACUGGGCGUUAAGUUGCAGGGUAUAGACCCGAAACCCGGUGAUCUAGCCAUGGGCAGGUUGAAGGUUGGGUAACACUAACUGGAGGACCGAACCGACUAAUGUUGAAAAAUUAGCGGAUGACCUGUGGCUGGGGGUGAAAGGCCAAUCAAACCGGGAGAUAGCUGGUUCUCCCCGAAAGCUAUUUAGGUAGCGCCUCGUGAACUCAUCUUCGGGGGUAGAGCACUGUUUCGGCUAGGGGGCCAUCCCGGCUUACCAACCCGAUGCAAACUACGAAUACCGAAGAAUGUUAUCACGGGAGACACACGGCGGGUGCUAACGUCCGUCGUGAAGAGGGAAACAACCCAGACCGCCAGCUAAGGUCCCAAAGUCAUGGUUAAGUGGGAAACGAUGUGGGAAGGCCCAGACAGCCAGGAUGUUGGCUUAGAAGCAGCCAUCAUUUAAAGAAAGCGUAAUAGCUCACUGGUCGAGUCGGCCUGCGCGGAAGAUGUAACGGGGCUAAACCAUGCACCGAAGCUGCGGCAGCGACGCUUAUGCGUUGUUGGGUAGGGGAGCGUUCUGUAAGCCGUUGAAGGUGGCCUGUGAGGGCUGCUGGAGGUAUCAGAAGUGCGAAUGCUGACAUAAGUAACGAUAAAGCGGGUGAAAAGCCCGCUCGCCGGAAGACCAAGGGUUCCUGUCCAACGUUAAUCGGGGCAGGGUGAGUCGACCCCUAAGGCGAGGCCGAAAGGCGUAGUCGAUGGGAAACAGGUUAAUAUUCCUGUACUUGGUGUUACUGCGAAGGGGGGACGGAGAAGGCUAUGUUAGCCGGGCGACGGUUGUCCCGGUUUAAGCAUGUAGGCGGAGGUUCCAGGUAAAUCCGGUACCUUUUAACGCUGAGGUGUGAUGACGAGGCACUACGGUGCUGAAGUAACAAAUGCCCUGCUUCCAGGAAAAGCCUCUAAGCAUCAGGUAACACGAAAUCGUACCCCAAACCGACACAGGUGGUCAGGUAGAGAAUACCAAGGCGCUUGAGAGAACUCGGGUGAAGGAACUAGGCAAAAUGGUGCCGUAACUUCGGGAGAAGGCACGCUGAUAUGUAGGUGAAGCCCCUGCGGGUGGAGCUGAAAUCAGUCGAAGAUACCAGCUGGCUGCAACUGUUUAUUAAAAACACAGCACUGUGCAAACACGAAAGUGGACGUAUACGGUGUGACGCCUGCCCGGUGCCGGAAGGUUAAUUGAUGGGGUUAGCGGCAACGCGAAGCUCUUGAUCGAAGCCCCGGUAAACGGCGGCCGUAACUAUAACGGUCCUAAGGUAGCGAAAUUCCUUGUCGGGUAAGUUCCGACCUGCACGAAUGGCGUAAUGAUGGCCAGGCUGUCUCCACCCGAGACUCAGUGAAAUUGAACUCGCUGUGAAGAUGCAGUGUACCCGCGGCAAGACGGAAAGACCCCGUGAACCUUUACUAUAGCUUGACACUGAACACUGGUCCUUGAUGUGUAGGAUAGGUGGGAGGCUUUGAAGCGUGGACGCCAGUCUGCGUGGAGCC